rnacentral:rRNA from 1 species
GAUGAACGCUGGCGGCGUGCCUAAUACAUGCAAGUCGAGCGAACAGACGAGAAGCUUGCUCCUCUGACGUUAGCGGCGGACGGGUGAGUAACACGUGGAUAACCUACCUAUAAGACUGGGAUAACUUCGGGAAACCGGAGCUAAUACCGGAUAAUAUAUUGAACCGCAUGGUUCAAUAGUGAAAGACGGUUUUGCUGUCACUUAUAGAUGGAUCCGCGCCGCAUUAGCUAGUUGGUAAGGUAACGGCUUACCAAGGCGACGAUGCGUAGCCGACCUGUGAGGGGGGUCGGCCACACUGGAACUGGGACACGGUCCAGGCUCCUGCGGGAGGCAGCAGUAGGGAAUCUGCCGCAAUGGGCGAAAGCCUGACGGAGCAACGCCGCGUGAGUGAUGAAGGUCUUCGGAUCGUAAAACUCUGUUAUGAGGGAAGAACAAAUGUGUAAGUAACUAUGCACGUCUUGACGGUACCUAAUCAGAAAGCCCCGGCUAACUACGUG